CCAGAAAGCAGGGAGGCUUGCUGCCCUGAGAGAGAGAGAGAUUAAAGACACUCUGGAGUGCCCAGCUGAGGGAGCUGGGAGGCCAGGAGCUGAGUCAGACCAGGAGAGGGGAGGGAAGGGAUUGGUGUGUAGUCCUGUGCCCAGCCUCAGAGCCUGACCCUGCUGCAUGCCAGGGUGAGAAGACUCCAUAACAGCCACACAGUGAGAGGGGUGGCCGAGGGUGUGGAGAGGCCCCUGUGCAGGCAACGAGUGUGCAUUGGUGACCACAGCUGGUAGUUAGCCUCUCCGGAAGCCUAACGGCCAGUCUCAAGACGACCAAGAGGACCGGCAUGCUCUCAGGGGUGGGACCCGGGGUCUCAUGCAUGGAGCUACACUGCAGCCCGUAACACCUGAAGUUGGAUGACUGUGCCAUCCGUGUGCCUACAAGGUGACAACGCCCCCGGAUGGAACAGAGAAUGUCACGAAAAAGCAGCAAUGUCCAGUGUGAAGAGAGGUCACAGGAACUGAAAGUCAAAAGAACCAGACUGAAGCGGAGUCACUGAGGCCCACAGCUGGUCGUCUUGGCUUAUGCCACAGGCUGAUGAGACUGGGCCAUGACACCAUGACACCAUGGUUGACUCUCCCACACUGCGUUUGAACUCAGGCCGGACUCGGGGGCGGGGCUUGCUCCUAACGGACAUAAGAAUCUUGUGACUACUGGGAAAAUCUAUUUCAUUAGGGCCCACUGUGUCUACCAAGCGCAUCUUCCAGAUACGAGGCGUGGCAAACACUGAGAAAGGCAAACACCCCAGCCAGGAAGUGUUCUCACAGACCUCAGUUGUUGUAUGGUACAUUCAAGUCCAGCCUGGGAUUUGGGAGACACUGCCUCGGGAUGAGGAGGAGGAGGAAGAGGAGGAGGAGAAGG